rnacentral:tRNA from 1 species
GCCGGUGUGGCGGAAUUGGUAGACGCGGCAGACUCAAAAUCUGUUUCUGGCAACAGAGUGGGGGUUCGAUUCCCUCCACCGGCA